AUUGAACGCUGGCGGCAGGCUUAACACAUGCAAGUCGAGCGGGGUGAUGGUGCUUGCACUAUCACUUAGCGGCGGACGGGUGAGUAAUGCUUAGGAAUCUGCCUAUUAGUGGGGGACAACAUCUCGAAAGGGAUGCUAAUACCGCAUACGUCCUACGGGAGAAAGCAGGGGAUCACUUGUGACCUUGCGCUAAUAGAUGAGCCUAAGUCGGAUUAGCUAGUUGGUGGGGUAAGGGCCUACCAAGGCGACGAUCUGUAGCGGGUCUGAGAGGAUGAUCCGCCACACUGGGACUGAGACACGGCCCAGACUCCUACGGGAGGCAGCAGUGGGGAAUAUUGGACAAUGGUGGGAACCCUGAUCCAGCCAUGCCGCGUGUGUGAAGAAGGCCUUAUGGUUGUAAAGCACUUUAAGCGAGGAGGAGGCUCUUUUGGUUAAUACCCAAGAUGAGUGGACGUUACUCGCAGAAUAAGCACCGGCUAACUCUGUGCCAGCAGCCGCCGUAA
rnacentral:rRNA from 1 species